GAGGAAUAUUGGUCAAUGGGCGCAAGCCUGAACCAGCCAAGUAGCGUGCAGGAAGACGGCCCUAUGGGUUGUAAACUGCUUUUAUACGAGAAUAAUUUGAUGCACGUGUGCGUUAUUGCAUGUAUCGUAUGAAUAAGGACCGGCUAAUUCCGUGCCAGCAGCCGCGGUAAUACGGAAGGUCCAGGCGUUAUCCGGAUUUAUUGGGUUUAAAGGGAGUGUAGGCGGUUUGUUAAGCGUGUUGUGAAAUUUAGGUGCUCAACAUUUAACUUGCAGCGCGAACUGUCAGACUUGAGUACACGCAACGUAUGCGGAAUUCUUGGUGUAGCGGUGAAAUGCUUAGAUAUCAUGAAGAACUCCGAUUGCGAAGGCAGCAUACGGGAGUGUAACUGACGCUUAAGCUCGAAGGUGCGGGUAUCGAACAGGAUUAGAUACCCUGGUAGUCCGCACAGUAAACGAUGGAUGCCCGCUGUUAGCGCCUGGCGUUAGCGGCUAAGCGAAAGCAUUAAGCAUCCCACCUGGGGAGUACGCCGGCAACGGUG
rnacentral:rRNA from 1 species